AAUUUAUGUACAGAGGACAUCAUUUCCUUACCUGUAUUACUAAAUACAGAGUUCCUAUGGUACUAUAACUACAAUACUAUCUUAAAAGUUGUACAAAAUCUUUACAGUCAAAGUGAGUUGAAAGGGACAAAACCCAAGAGAGUGGGAGAGGUUCCCUCAAAAAUGAAGUCGUAUAUAAGUAUCAGAAAGAAUAUAUUGCCCUAAUUACGG
rnacentral:misc_RNA from 1 species